rnacentral:ncRNA from 1 species
CAGCCGGCUGUAAAACUUGCAGCUUCCACAGGAAACUGUGGUUGAAACAUCGGGUGAAUUCAGGGAAGCCGUCUCCGUGUAGCCGGAACGGUAAUCCUGAGCGAAGCCUGCCGAACGGCACUCAGUAGGCAGGAACGUGCAGAGACUAGAGGCUGAGGAGCCGACCCAAUAUCGCCUCACGAGCGCCCGACACCCUUCCCUGAAAACCCAGGUGGGUGAAGAGAUAGUCCAAGCCCUUUCGAAAGAUAGGG